GAUGAACGCUGGCGGCGUGCCUAAUACAUGCAAGUCGAGCGAACAGACGAGGAGCUUGCUCCUUCGACGUUAGCGGCGGACGGGUGAGUAACACGUAGGUAACCUACCUAUAAGACUGGGAUAACUUCGGGAAACCGGAGCUAAUACCGGAUAAUAUUUCGAACCGCAUGGUUCGAUAGUGAAAGAUGGCUUUGCUAUCACUUAUAGAUGGACCUGCGCCGUAUUAGCUAGUUGGUAAGGUAACGGCUUACCAAGGCAACGAUACGUAGCCGACCUGAGAGGGUGAUCGGCCACACUGGAACUGAGACACGGUCCAGACUCCUACGGGAGGCAGCAGUAGGGAAUCUUCCGCAAUGGGCGAAAGCCUGACGGAGCAACGCCGCGUGAGUGAUAAAGGUCUUCGGAUCGUAAAACUCUGUUAUUAGGGAAGAACAAACGUGUAAGUAACUGUGCACGUCUUGACGGUACCUAAUCAGAAAGCCACGGCUAACUACGUG
rnacentral:rRNA from 1 species